AACGUAGGUACCGAGCGUUAUCCGGAUUUACUGGGCGUAAAGCGCGUUCAGGCGGUUUGGCAAGUCGGGCAUGAAAUCUCUCGGCUCAACCGGGAGAGGUUGUCCGAUACUUCCAGACUUGAGGGCAGUAGAGGGUGGUGGAAUUCCGGGUGUAGUGGUGAAAUGCGUAGAUAUCCGGAGGAACACCAGUGGCGAAAGCGGCCACCUGGACUGCACCUGACGCUGACACGCGAAAGCUAGGGGAGCGAACAGG
rnacentral:rRNA from 1 species